GGAUACAUUCCGGGAAGCGGGGGAUAGCCCAGGGAAACUUGGAUUAAUACCGCAUGUGAUCGAAAGAUCAAAGACGGGGACCGCAAGGCCUGUCACUUCCCGAUUGGUCCGCGGCCUAUCAGCUAGUUGGCGGGGUAAAAGCCCACCAAGGCGACGACGGGUAGCUGGUCUGAGAGGACGACCAGCCACACUGGAACUGAGACACGGUCCAGACACCUACGGGUGGCAGCAGUCGAGAAUCUUUCACAAUGGGGGCAACCCUGAUGGAGCGACGCCGCGUGGAGGAUAAGGUCUUCGGAUUGUAAACUCCUGUCAUGCGUGAACAAGGCAGCCGGGCUAAUAACUUGUGCUGAUUGAUGGUAACGCAAGAGGAAGAGACGGCUAACUCUGUGCCAGCAGCCGCGGUAAUACAGAGGUCUCAAGCGUUGUUCGGAAUCACUGGGCGUAAAGGGUGCGUAGGUGGCGUGGUAAGUCAGAUGUGAAAGCCCGGGGCUCAACCUCGGAAUUGCAUCCGAUACUGCCGUGCUUGAGUACUGGAGAGGUGACUAGAAUUCUAGGU
rnacentral:rRNA from 1 species